UACGGGGGAGCAACGUUGUUCGGAAUCACUGGGCGUAAAGGGCGCGUAGGCGGUCCUGUAAGUGGUGUGUGAAAUCCGAUGGCUCAACCAUCGAGCUGCGCUCCAUACUGCAGGACUUGAGUACAGCAGAGGAAGUGGAAUUCCUGGUGUAGCGGUGAAAUGCGCAGAUAUCAGGAGGAACACCGAUGCGAAGGCAGCUCGCUGGACGUAACUGACGCUGGAGACGCGAAAGCGUGGGGAGCAAACAGG
rnacentral:rRNA from 1 species